CGAUUAUCCAGCUUGCUGGAUAUGAAAGUGGCGCACGGGUGCGUAACGCGUGAGCAACCUACCUCUGUCAGGGGGAUAGCCCGGCGAAAGUCGGAUUAACACCGCAUGACAUUAAGAUGUGGCAUCACAUUAUAAUCAAAUAUUUAUAGGACAGANAUGGGCUCGCGUGACAUUAGCUAGUUGGAGAGGUAACGGCUCACCAAGGCAACGAUGUCUAGGGGCUCUGAAAGGAGAAUCCCCCACACUGGUACUGANACACGGACCAAACUCCUACGGGAGGCAGCAGUAAGGAAUAUUGGUCAAUGGAGGGAACUCUGAACCAGCCAUGCCGCGUGCAGGAUGACUGCCCUAUGGGUUGUAAACUGCUUUUGUCGGGGAAUAAACCUACGUUUGUAAACGUAGCUGAAUGUACCCGAAGAAUAAGGAUCGGCUAACUCCGUGCCAGCAGCCGCGGUAAUACGGAGGAUCCAAGCGUUAUCCGGAUUUAUUGGGUUUAAAGGGUGCGUAGGCGGUUCUUUAAGUCAGAAGUGAAAGACGGCAGCUUAACUGUCGCAGUGCCUUUGAUACUGAAGAACUUGAAUAGGGUUGAGGAAUGCGGAAUGAGACAAGUAGCGGUGAAAUGCAUAGAUAUGUCUCAGAACCCCGAUUGCGAAGGCAGCAUUCCAAGCCUUUAUUGACGCUGAUGCACGAAAGCGUGGGGAUCGAACAGGAUUAGAUACCCUGGUAGUCCACGCCCUAAACGAUGAUAACUCGAUGUUGGCGAUAGACAGUCAGCGUCCCAGCGAAAGCGUUAAGUUAUCCACCUGGGGAGUACGCCCGCAAGGGUGAAACUCAAAGGAAUUGACCGGGGCCCGCACAAGCGGAGGAGCAUGUGGUUUAA
rnacentral:rRNA from 1 species